AUGAUCAACAGCUCCGCUCCAGCACACCUCCGCAAGGGGACAAACUCCCUCGUCGCCCUCACCGCCUGGUCCAUCUGGAAACACCGAACCGCCGGCGUGUUUGAUAAUACCCGGCCAUCGAACAAUGAUCUUGCUCGCACAAUCAAAGAUGAGGCUCGCCUGUGAGCUCGUGUAGGAGCAACUAGGCUAGAAUCAAUUAUUCCUGUAACUUGA
rnacentral:rRNA from 1 species